rnacentral:rRNA from 1 species
AGAGUUUGAUCCUGGCUCAGAACGAACGCUGGCGGCAGGCCUAACACAUGCAAGUCGAGCGCACUCUUCGGAGUGAGCGGCGGACGGGUUAGUAACGCGUGGGAACAUACCCUUUUCUACGGAAUAGCCUCGGGAAACUGAGAGUAAUACCGUAUACGCCCUUCGGGGGAAAGAUUUAUCGGAGAAGGAUUGGCCCGCGUUUGAUUAGAUAGUUGGUGGGGUAAUGGCCUACCAAGUCUACGAUCAAUAGCUGGUUUGAGAGGAUGAUCAGCAACACUGGGACUGAGACACGGCCCAGACUCCUACGGGAGGCAGCAGUGGGGAAUCUUAGACAAUGGGCGCAAGCCUGAUCUAGCCAUGCCGCGUGAGUGACGAAGGCCUUAGGGUCGUAAAGCUCUUUCGCCAGAGAUGAUAAUGACAGUAUCUGGUAAAGAAACCCCGGCUAACUCCGUGCCAGCAGCCGCGGUAAUACGGAGGGGGUUAGCGUUGUUCGGAAUUACUGGGCGUAAAGCGUACGUAGGCGGAUUAGAAAGUAGGGGGUGAAAUCCCAGGGCUCAACCCUGGAACUGCCUCCUAAACUACUAGUCUAGAGUUCGAGAGAGGUGAGUGGAAUUCCAAGUGUAGAGGUGAAAUUCGUAGAUAUUUGGAGGAACACCAGUGGCGAAGGCGGCUCACUGGCUCGAUACUGACGCUGAGGUACGAAAGUGUGGGGAGCAAACAGGAUUAGAUACCCUGGUAGUCCACACCGUAAACGAUGAAUGCCAGACGUCGGGGGGCUUGCCCUUCGGUGUCACACCUAACGGAUUAAGCAUUCCGCCUGGGGAGUACGGUCGCAAGAUUAAAACUCAAAGGAAUUGGCGGGGGCCCGCACAAGCGGUGGAGCAUGUGGUUUGAUUCGAAGCAACGCGCAGAACCUUACCAACCCUUGACAUCCUCGGACCGCCAGAGAGAUCUGGUUUCCACUUCGGUGGCCGAGUGACAGGUGCUGCAUGGCUGUCGUCAGCUCGUGUCGUGAGAUGUUCGGUUAAGUCCGGCAACGAGCGCAACCCACAUCCUUAGUCGCCAGCAGUUCGGCUGGGCACUCUAGGGAAACUGCCCGUGAUAAGCGGGAGGAAGGUGUGGAUGACGUCAAGUCCUCAUGGCCCUUACGGGUUGGGCUACACACGUGCUACAAUGGCAUCUACAGUGAGUUAAUCUCAAAAAGAUGUCUCAGUUCGGAUUGGGGUCUGCAACUCGACCCCAUGAAGUCGGAAUCGCUAGUAAUCGCGUAACAGCAUGACGCGGUGAAUACGUUCCCGGGCCUUGUACACACCGCCCGUCACACCAUGGGAGUUGGUUCUACCCGACGACGCUGCGCUAACCCUUCGGGGAGGCAGGCGGCCACGGUAGGAUCAGCGACUGGGGUGAAGUCGUAACAAGGUA